AUGUACACACCCAGUCCUUUUUUAAUUUAUCUACAAAUAAAGGGUCAAAACAAUUGGAGCUGCUUUUUUAGACCGACGUAGAAAAAUAGAAACAUUGUAAUAAAGCAGUAACCAGUACUGGCUACAGCUAAAGUUUGUUUUGUAUGUGGGAUGUUUGUUGUGAUGUGUAUACUGUAAUGUUAAGCCGAAAUGAAUAGCAUCUGCGGCUAAAGCUACUUCGGAUGUUUGUUUGCGCGUGUUUACUGCUAUUGUGCUUUUCUAAAACAGUCUACAUACUCUAAGCUGUAAGUGGUAAUGUGUACAUGAAGAGGUUUUAGCCAUUAGAAACAGAAACCGUAGAAAAAUAGAAACAUUGUAAUAAAGCAGUACUACUGGCUACAGCUAAAGUUUGUUGUGUAUGUGGGAUGUUUGUUGUACUGUAAUGUUAAGCCGAAAUGAAUAACAUCUGCAGCUAAAGUUGCUUCGAAUGUUUGUUUGCAUGUGUUUACUGCUAUUGUCCUUUUCUAAAACAGUCUACAUACUCGAAGCUGUAAGUGGUAAUGUGUACAGGAAGGGCUUUUAGCCAUUAUAAACAGAAACCGUAGAAAAAUAGAAACAUUGUAAUAAAGCAGUAACCAGUACUGGCUACAGCUAAAGUUUGUUUUGUAUGUAAGGUGGUUUGUUGUAAUGUGUAUACUGUAAUGUUAAGCCGAAAUGAAUAGCAUCUGCGGCUAAAGCUACUUUGGAUGUUUGUUUGCGCGUGUUUACUGCUAUUGUGCUUUUCUAAAACAGUCUAUAUACUCUAAGCUGUAAGUGGUAAUGUGUACAUGAAGGAGUUUUAGCCAUUAGAAACAGAAACCGUAGAAAAAUAGAAACAUUGUAAUAAAGCAGUACCACUGGCUACAGCUAAAGUUUGUUGUGUAUGUGGGAUGUUUGUUGUAAUUUUUUCACUGUACUUGCACGUGGUCUGCAGUUGUUUACAAUAAGAUCGGUAUGUUUUCAGCAAAGAAAGGUCAUUUUAAAAAAUGUAUGUUUUCUUACAAAGGCCACGACGUUGACACAGAGCAACAAGGUGGAUGUUGCUUGCCAGACAGAACCAUUUCACAUAUCUUUACACAGUGUUGGUACGCAGUUGUUGUUUAGGACGCUUCAGGCCAAACGCAGGAGUACAAGUGUCCAGACAACAGUAUCCAGUUUUGAACUGACUGUACCAUCAGCAUCCUCUACUGCAUUUAUGACUUCGACACCCCUCAAACCUUCAUUAAAAAGACCUCGUCUGAAGCUGGAGGAGGAGGAGGAAGAAGAAGCCGAAGAAACUCUAACAGAGUCAAAAAUUAUAGCCCAAGACUCGUAUGUGACAUUUGACCCUGCAGAGGAAUACACAUCUGCAACUGAACCAACAGACUUGUCAAUCCAAGAAUGCCCAGUUCAUAAGAUAGCCAAGUUCAUUGUCUAUGAAACAUGCCUCAUGGAGCUCUUCAGUGACUGCCCAGUGUGUCAGAGUAGAUGUAAUGUAAAGUCACAAAGGCUUGGGACAUUUCUUAGCGUACAGCAAGUCUACCCACACUGCGAGUUUGUUAGACAAUGGAACAGUCAGCCAAUUAUUGGUAGUACUCCAGCUGGCAACCUGCAUCUUUCCGCUGCAGUGUACUUGAGCGGUGCAUCAUUUUUUGUAGUUGAAAAGCUAAUUAUCUAUCAAAAUUUAUCACGUUUCUUUUAGAAACACAAUAUGAAUUUUGUCACAGGGUGCAUGCACAUUGUACUAAAAAUUCUCCUCUCUGUUGUCAGGUAUUUGCUGCAAUGAAACUACACAUUUUUA